GACGAACGCUGGCGGCGUGCUUAACACAUGCAAGUUGAACGGAAAGGCCUCUUUCGGGGGGUACUCGAGUGGCGAACGGGUGAGUAACACGUGAGUAACCUGCCCUUGACUUUGGGAUAACUUCAGGAAACUGGGGCUAAUACCGGAUAGGAGCUCCUGCUGCAUGGUGGGGGUUGGAAAGUUUCGGCGGUUGGGGAUGGACUCGCGGCUUAUCAGCUUGUUGGUGGGGUAGUGGCUUACCAAGGCUUUGACGGGUAGCCGGCCUGCGAGGGUGACCGGCAACAUUGGGACUGCGAUACGGCCCAGACUCCUACGGGAGGCAGCAGUGGGGAAUAUUGCACAAUGGGUGGAAGCCUGAUGCAGCAACGCCGUGUGCGGGAUGACGGCCUUCGGGUUGUAGACCGCUUUCGCUCAUGACGAAGCUUUGUGUGACGGUAGUGGGUAAAGAAGCACCGGCUAACUACGUG
rnacentral:rRNA from 1 species